GACGAACGCUGGCGGCGUGCCUAAUACAUGCAAGUCGAACGCAGUUGCGAACGGGUGAGUAACGCGUAGGUAACUGCCUCAUAGCGGGGGAUAACUAUUGGAAACGAUAGCUAAUACCGCAUACUGUGAGAUGGACCUGCGUUGUAUUAGCUAGUUGGUGAGGGAAAGGCUCACCAAGGCGACGGUACAUAGCCGACCUGAGAGGGGGAACGGCCACACUUGGACUGGGACACGGCCCAGACUCCUACGGGAGGCAGGCGUAGGGAAUUAUUGGAAAUGGACGGAAAUCUGACCGAGCAAAUCCGCGGGAGUGAAGAAGGGUUUCGGAUCGGUAAGCUCUGUUGUUAGAGAAGCGGUAACUAAAGAGAAAGGGACGGCUAACUACGUGCCAGCAGCCGCGGUAAUAC
rnacentral:rRNA from 1 species